CUAUGGAUUUCUGUGUGAUCAGCUGCUGAAACAGUCGCUAGAACCCAUUCUUCUCGUAUACUAGAUGAACUAUGGAAAACAUUCAGGGAGGAGAGGUGUGCUUUAGACUGAAAUCCUCACGAAAGAGCCUUCAGCAAUGAAACUAUGCUGUAGGAGUAUUUUCAAGGUGCGUGAUAAAGGUCGCUAGAUAAAACAUGAACAGACGCAGCAACAUGGACUAAAACAACGUAGUGAGGCCCCAAAAUCACUGUAUUGUAAGGGAAUGAACUGUACCAGAGUACACUCACAUGUUGAUAGCUUCAAUGUGAUUAGUCGUUAUUCAAUCAGUUAGACAGUGUCACACCAUAAUGCUUAUCGAAGUAUAAGCAGUCGUACUGUUCUCAGUAGUAUUGUGAUGAAUGCAGUUAUUGCUCCCAGGAGAUAAACGCCAUCAUACACACAAGUAGAAUGAAAAGUUUUGGCUGGUGUAGACUACUUGGUGCAACAGAGUUUGGCAAAAUUUCAUCUUUCAGUGGGAGCCGUAUGGAAAUUCUGAAUAGAGUAUGUGAAACUAAUUCUGUUUAUAAGAGAAGUGAACGAGAUAGAAAGCCAGAACUCUUUUAAAAUGUUGUUUAACAACUCAGGGUGCGCUUUUUAUUGAUACACGAUAAUCCAGUAAAAAUAUUGCGAAUGACCUAGCUGUAAGAACAGGCGUGAAUGUUAAAACAAUAAAAAUACAAUAAAACAAUAAGAUGCAUGUUAGCAAGAAGUGGUUUCAAUAGAUAAUCCAAAAUCGUUUCUGAAGUAAGAAUUGGACAACAAACCAUGAAAUGUUCAAAACUCGAAGAGGUGCCGCUGUCAAGGUACAUAAAUAAAUAGUGAAUGUUAUUCUACGGACACCACACAUCAAGAGCUCCAUGAGAAUUUGACUAAGACUGUGAAAGUGGAACGAGGCUAGGUUAGAGUUCUAGUUAAUGUGGACAUAGCAGUACAGUGACCUGCGCAGUGACGGCACGUUUCCUGUGUUAUCGUGGCUGAAAUGAAUUGAUUCCAGUACGAGCUUAAUGCUUGAAGUUACUAGACAACCUUCGUCAGUGUGUGUGAUCAGCUGAAGUAAAAUAACAAUGAUUUUGAUUGACAAUUAAGAUGUCAAUUUCAGUGACGUUACAACAUAUAUUUAGCUUUAAACCAGCUAAAUAAACUGAGCGAAGUAUGAAUCUUUUUCAGUUACCACUCGGCAUUGUAAAUAAAGUCAAAUUCUGACAAUA